GGUCGCUUAGCUCAGCUGGUUAGAGUACUGUACUAAUAUAAUUGUGAUCUUUGAUCAAAUUCAUUAGUCUAUGCAGUGGUCGGCGGUUCGAUCCCGUCAGUGAUCA